ACUCUACUUCACCUUCUACAACACUGUGGAGUUUUCUACACAACUCUUCUUCUUUGGGAAGAAACGUCUUGGGCGUGCUUCCCAGAGGUGAAAAACACAAACAACUUUUUAUUAUUAUAAACCAGUCAAAACCAAUUUCGUUAUGAAAUUAAAAAUAUUUAAAACUUUCAACAACGGAUCUCUUGGGUCCCGCCUCCAUGAAGAACGCAGCAAAAU
rnacentral:rRNA from 1 species